UUUAUGGAGAGUUUGAUCCUGGCUCAGGAUGAACGCUGGCGGCGUGCCUAAUACAUGCAAGUCGAGCGAACAGACGAGGAGCUUGCUCCUCUGAUGUUAGCGGCGGACGGGUGAGUAACACGUGGAUAACCUACCUAUAAGACUGGGAUAACUUCGGGAAACCGGAGCUAAUACCGGAUAACAUGUUGAACCGCAUGGUUCAACAGUGAAAGACGGUCUUGCUGUCACUUAUAGAUGGAUCCGCGCCGCAUUAGCUAGUUGGUAAGGUAACGGCUUACCAAGGCAACGAUGCGUAGCCGACCUGAGAGGGUGAUCGGCCACACUGGAACUGAGACACGG
rnacentral:rRNA from 1 species